rnacentral:rRNA from 1 species
AUUGAACGCUGGCGGCAGGCUUAACACAUGCAAGUCGAACGAGCGGCGGACGGGUGAGUAAUAUAUGGGUAUGUGCCUGAUGGAGGGGGAUAACUCCUGAAAAAGGUCGCUAAUACCGCAAACCAGCAGAUGACCACAUAUGAUAUUAGGUUGUAGGUGAGGUAACGGCUCACAUAGGAGACGCUCCCUAGCGGGUCGGAGAGGAUGAUCAGCCACACUGGGACUGAGACACGGCCCAGACUCCUACGGGAGGCAGCAGUGGGGAAUAUUGCACAAUGGGCGCAAGCCUGAUGCAGCCAUGCCGCGUGUAUGAAGAAGGCCUUCGGGUUGUAAAGUACUUUCAGUCGGGAGGCGUUACCGACAGAAGAAGCACCGGCUAACUCCGUGCCAGCAGCCGCGGUAAUUC